ACAGUCUGAAAAUCACUUGGGGUCUCCUGUGGUCCCUGGUGAGAUAACUGUGCCGACAGCAUCGGGAGCAUUAAGCUUAUUGCCCACGGAAAGUGUGGGGAAUGAAACCCAUGUUCCUAUAACG